UACGUAGGGUGCGAGCGUUGUCCGGAAUUAUUGGGCGUAAAGAGCUUGUAGGCGGUCUGUCGCGUCUGCUGUGAAAAUCCGGGGCUCAACCCCGGACUUUGCAGUGGGUACGGGCAGACUAGAGGUGUGGGUAGGGGAGACUGGAAUUCCUGGUGUAGCGGUGAAAUGCGUAGAUAUCUGGAGGAACACCGGUGGCGAAGGCGGCAUCCUGGACCGAUACUGACGGCUGAUGAGCGAAAGCCAGGGGAG
rnacentral:rRNA from 1 species